CCUACGGGAGGCAGCAGUGAGGAAUAUUGGUCAAUGGACGAGAGUCUGAACCAGCCACGUAGCGUGAAGGAUGACUGCCCUAUGGGUUGUAAACUUCUUUUAUAUGGGAAUAAAACGUUCCACGUGUGGGAUUUUGUAUGUAUCAUAUGAAUAAGGCUCGGCUAACUCCGUGCCAGCAGCCGCGGUAAUACGGAGGAGCCGAGCGUUAUCCGGAUUUAUUGGGUUUAAAGGGAGCGUAGGUGGAUUGUUAAGUCAGUUGUGAAAGUUUGCGGCUCAACCGUAAAAUUGCAGUUGAAACUGGCAGUCUUGAGUACAGUAGAGGUGGGCGGAAUGCGUGGUGUAGCGGUGAAAUGCUUAGAUAUCACGAAGAACUCCGAUUGCGAAGGCAGUUCACUGGACUGCAACUGACACUGAGGCUCGAAAGUGUGGGUAUCAAACAGGAUUAGAUACCCCAGUAGUC
rnacentral:rRNA from 1 species